CGGCCACAGCCCAAAACUCAAAGGACUUGGCGGUGCUUUAUACCCCUCUAGAGGAGCCUGUUCUAUAAUCGAUAAACCCCGAUAAACCUCACCAAUCCUUGCUAAUACAGUCUAUAUACCGCCAUCUUCAGCAAACCCUAGAAAAGGAACAGAAGUAAGCACAACCACAACACAUAAAAACGUUAGGUCAAGGUGUAACCCAUGGAAUGGGAAGAAAUGGGCUACAUUUUCUAUCUUAAGAA
rnacentral:rRNA from 1 species